rnacentral:pre_miRNA from 1 species
AGAGUACUCCCUCCGUUCGGAAUUACUUGUCACAGAAAUGGAUGUAUCUAGACGUAUUUUAGUUCUAGAUACAUCCAUUUCCGAGACAAGUAAUUCCGAAUGGAGGGAGUAGAUA